rnacentral:tRNA from 1 species
GGCCACUUAGCUCAGUUGGUUAGAGCGCGCCGUUCACAUCGGCGAGGCCGCUGGUUCGAAUCCAGCAGUGGCUACCA